UAAAAUGUAAACUAAUAAGUAUAAUUUCAGUAUAUAAUAUUAUAAUUAGUGAGGUUGUAAUAAUUUUGGAUUAUAGUUAAUUAGGCUGUAAUAGUUUGAGUUUUUUUUUGCGGAUUAGGGUUUUUCGCCAAAAUGAGAUUUUAAUGGCCAUCCUUUCAUUGAUUAGUCUACUCUUUAUAAUAGUCCAUAUAUAAUUAUAUAUUUUAUCCAUGAUAAUUCUAUGAUUUUUCUUUUAUGUAAUGUAAAUUUAAUAGAUAGAAUAAGUUUAUACAGGGAAAGAGCAUCUCAAUAUUCACAAACUGAUAAAAAAAAAUGAAAGUUACUAAUGUAGUACCCUCAUUUUUUAUUGGAUUUCUAAAAAACAACAUUUAUAAUGAAUUUUAAUAAUUUUUUCGGAUUUUUUUGAAGUUUUAAUCCGACCGAUUCAGC
rnacentral:lncRNA from 1 species